UGCUUUACAUCUACAGAGACAAGGUUAGAAUCAGGGGGUGCUUUACAUCUACAGAGACAAGGUUAGAAUCAGGGGGUGCUUUACAUCUACAGAGACAAGGUUAGAAUCAGGCGGUGCUUUACAUCUACAGAGACAAGGUUAGAAUCAGGGGGUGCUUUACAUCUACAGAGACAAGGUUAGAAUCAGGCGGUGCUUUACAUCUACAGAGACAAGGUUAGAAUCAGGGGGUGCUUUACAUCUACAGAGACAAGGUUAGAAUCAGGGGGUGCUUUACAUCUACAGAGACAAGGUUAGAAUCAGGGGGUGCUUUACAUCUACAGAGACAAGGUUAGAAUCAGGGGGUGCUUUACAUCUACAGAGACAAGGUUAGAAUCAGGCGGUGCUUUACAUCUACAGAGACAAGGUUAGAAUCAGG